UGGCCUAGUGGUUAAGGCUAUGGAUCGCCAUUCCGGAGACGGCGGGUUCGAUUCCCGU
rnacentral:tRNA from 1 species